rnacentral:rRNA from 1 species
UACGAAGGGGGCUAGCGUUGCUCGGAAUCACUGGGCGUAAAGCGCACGUAGGCGGAUUGUUAAGUCAGGGGUGAAAUCCUGGAGCUCAACUCCAGAACUGCCUUUGAUACUGACGGUCUUGAGUUCGGGAGAGGUGAGUGGAACUGCGAGUGUAGAGGUGAAAUUCGUAGAUAUUCGCAAGAACACCAGUGGCGAAGGCGGCUCACUGGCCCGAUACUGACACUGAGGAGCGAAAGCCAGGGGAGCAAACGGG